CAUCCUCGUCGUGUGUAGCUGUUUGAGG
rnacentral:piRNA from 1 species